AGAAUCAACGCUGGCGGCGUGCCUAACACAUGCAAGUCGAACGAGAAAGUGGAGCAAUCCAUGAGUAAAGUGGCGUACGGGUGAGUAACACGUGACUAACCUACCCUCGAGUGGGGAAUAACCUCGGGAAAACCGGGGCUAAUACCGCAUAAUAUCUUCGGAUCAAAUGCGUAAGCAGCUUGAGGAGGGGGUCGCGGCCGAUUAGCUAGUUGGCGGGGUAAUGGCCCACAAGCGAUGAUCGGUA
rnacentral:rRNA from 1 species